GUGAAUCAUCAAAUUUUUGAACGCAAAUUGCACUCUCUGGCAUUCCGGAGAGUAUGCCUGUUUGAGGGUCAGUUUAAAUAAAAAUCGAGGUUUUGCUUUUUUGUGACCAAUCGGAUUUGGGUUAUCUUUGAUCUUUUAAAGGUUUAAGUGACCUAAAAUUGAUACCUUGUGCAUCUCAGACGUACAUAAGAAUAUUUUUUUAUCCGUCCGAAGUUGCCGACUUUUAUUAGUUAUGACCAUCUUGUUUGUGGCAUCGUAUCUAUAUAUAUACUCAUAUUUUGGCCUCAAAUUAGGUAGGAGU
rnacentral:misc_RNA from 1 species